UACGUAGGGGGCAAGCGUUGUCCGGAAUCAUUGGGCGUAAAGGGUGCGUAGGUGGGCAGUUAAGUCAGUGGUGAAAUCUCCGGGCUCAACCCGGAAACUGCCAUUGAUACUAUCUGUCUUGAAUAUCGUGGAGGUAAGCGGAAUAUGUCAUGUAGCGGUGAAAUGCUUAGAUAUGACAUAGAACACCAAUUGCGAAGGCAGCUUACUACCCGAAUAUUGACACUGAGGCACGAAAGCGUGGGGAUCAAACAGG
rnacentral:rRNA from 1 species